CGCUAGCUACAGGCUUAACACAUGCAAGUCGUUGGGCAUCAGGAAGAAAGCUUGCUUUCUUUGCUGGCGACCGGCGCACGGGUGAGUAACACGUAUCCAACCUGCCCUUUACUCGGGGAUAGCCUUUCGAAAGAAAGAUUAAUACCCGAUAGCAUAAUGAUUCCGCAUGGUUUCAUUAUUAAAGGAUUCCGGUAAAGGAUGGGGAUGCGUUCCAUUAGGUUGUUGGUGAGGUAACGGCCCACCAAGCCUUCGAUGGAUAGGGGUUCUGAGAGGAAGGUCCCCCACAUUGGAACUGAGACACGGUCCAAACUCCUACGGGAGGCAGCAGUGAGGAAUAUUGGUCAAUGGGCGCUAGCCUGAACCAGCCAAGUAGCGUGAAGGAUGAAGGCUCUAUGGGUCGUAAACUUCUUUUAUAUAAGAAUAAAGUGCAGUAUGUAUACUGUUUUGUAUGUAUUAUAUGAAUAAGGAUCGGCUAACUCCGUGCCAGCAGCCGCGGUAAUACGGAGGAUCCGAGCGUUAUCCGGAUUUAUUGGGUUUAAAGGGAGCGUAGGUGGACUGGUAAGUCAGUUGUGAAAGUUUGCGGCUCAACCGUAAAAUUGCAGUUGAUACUGUCAGUCUUGAGUACAGUAGAGGUGGGCGGAAUUCGUGGUGUAGCGGUGAAAUGCUUAGAUAUCACGAAGAACUCCGAUUGCGAAGGCAGCUCACUGGACUGCAACUGACACUGAUGCUCGAAAGUGUGGGUAUCAAACAGGAUUAGAUACCCUGGUAGUCCACACAGUAAACGAUGAAUACUCGCUGCUUGCGAUAUACAGUAAGCGGCCAAGCGAAAGCAUUAAGUAUUCCACCUGGGGAGUACGCCGGCAACGGUGAAACUCAAAGGAAUUGACGGGGGCCCGCACAAGCGGAGGAACAUGUGGUUUAAUUCGAUGAUACGCGAGGAACCUUACCCGGGCUUAAAUUGCAGUGGAAUGAUGUGGAAACAUGUCAGUGAGCAAUCACCGCUGUGAAGGUGCUGCAUGGUUGUCGUCAGCUCGUGCCGUGAGGUGUCGGCUUAAGUGCCAUAACGAGCGCAACCCUUAUCUUUAGUUACUAACAGGUUAUGCUGAGGACUCUAGAGAGACUGCCGUCGUAAGAUGUGAGGAAGGUGGGGAUGACGUCAAAUCAGCACGGCCCUUACGUCCGGGGCUACACACGUGUUACAAUGGGGGGUACAGAAGGCAGCUAGCGGGUGACCGUAUGCUAAUCCCAAAAUCCUCUCUCAGUUCGGAUCGAAGUCUGCAGCCCGACUUCGUGAAGCUGGAUUCGCUAGUAAUCGCGCAUCAGCCACGGCGCGGUGAAUACGUUCCCGGGCCUUGUACACACCGCCCGUCAAGCCAUGGGAGCCGGGGGUACCUGAAGUACGUAACCGCAAGGAUCGUCCUAGGGUAAAACUGGUG
rnacentral:rRNA from 1 species